rnacentral:rRNA from 1 species
GAUGAAUGCUGGCGGCGUGCCUAAUACAUGCAAGUCGAGCGGUAAGGCCCUUCGGGGUACACGAGCGGCGGACGGGCUGAGUAACGCGUGGGAACAUGCCCCAAAGUGAGGGAUAACGCACCGAAAGGUGUGCUAAUACCGCAUAUGGUCUUCGGAUUAAAGGAUUUAUCCGCUUUGGGAGUGGCCCGCGUACGAUUAGAUUGUUGGUGAGGUAACGGCUCACCAAGUCGACGAUCGUUAACUGGUCUGAGAGGAUGAUCAGUCAGACUGGAACUGAGACACGGUCCAGACUCCUACGGGAGGCAGCAGUAAGGAAUCUUCCACAAUGGGCGAAAGCCUGAUGGAGCAACGCCGCGUGCAGGAUGAAGGCCCUCGGGUCGUAAACUGCUUUAUGAGUGAAGAAUAUGACGGUAACUCAUGAUAAGCACCGGCUAACUACGUGCCAGCAGCCGC